UAAAUGCAUUUUCUGGCCCGUA
rnacentral:miRNA from 2 species